UAUUUUACUGAAACAAUCUAUUUUAUUAUAAAAUAUUUUAAAUUCCAUAUCUCUUAAUAAAUUUUACCCCAGCUUUAUAUAAAUAUUUAAACAAAAUUAUCUAGCCAUCUUUCUUCAUCGCACCAUCUUCAAAUUUCUGCCAGAAUUGAGAAGAGAUUGUUAUGGUUCAGCUUUGGAUUCACAGCGGCAUACGCCUAUUUGUUCCAAUCCGUUUCGUAUGACGUGAAGGCUCAGCGUUCUAUGCUUAACUAUUGCUCCGAACGUAUUGGCGUUCUUGAAAAGAGAAUCUCCCAGAUGAAUCUUUUUCUCCAAAACAUUCUUCUACUCCCUCCUCUUCUUCAGCUUCUGAUAAGGUAAUUCACCUCUUUUUCUCGCCCUACCUCCUUUUAAUUUUUCGCUCAAAUCACGU
rnacentral:lncRNA from 1 species